rnacentral:rRNA from 1 species
AUUGAACGCUGGCGGCGUGCUUAACACAUGCAAGUCGAACGAAGUGGAGAACGGGUGAGUAACGCGUAAUCAACCUGCCCUUCAGAGGGGGACAACAGUUGGACCCGACUGCUAAUACCGCAUACUGAAGGUGGGGAUUGCGUCUGAUUAGCUAGUUGGAGGGGUAACGGCCCACCAAGGCGAUGAUCAGUAGCCGGGCUGAGAGGAUGAACGGCAACAUGGGGACUGAGUCACGGCCCAGACGCCUACGGGUGGCAGCAGUGGGGAAUCUUCCGCAAUGGACGAAAGUCUGACGAUGCAACGCCGCGGGAGUGAUGACGGCCUUCGGGUUGUAAAGCUCUGUUAAUCGGGACGCGGUACCGGAAUAGAAAGCCACGGCUAACUCCGUGCCACCAGCCGCGGUAAUAC